rnacentral:sRNA from 1 species
AUGCUUGAUGUUAAUGAGUUGGAAGAAGAAAGAAGACUCUGUUAUGUAGGAAUUACAAGAGCUAAAAAAAAGCUUUAUUUAACUUAUGCAAGAGC